CCGCACUGUUCGUAACCUGGUCCGGCCUCCGUCUGGACUCUGGUUCCAUUCCAGUGCCACAGUGACUCCAGUGAGGCAGGGGAGUGGGGCCCGUCAGUGCUGAGCUCCCUGUUCACUCUCUGGAAACAUGG
ensembl:snoRNA